ACAUUCAUUGCUGUCGGUGGGUU
rnacentral:ncRNA from 4 species